GAUUCCGUGGCCCAGUGGUUAGCGCGUUUGACUCGUAAGCAAGCGUUUCGGGUUCAAUCCCCGGUCGAGUCU
rfam:Nematostella vectensis strain CH2 x CH6 NEMVEscaffold_563_Cont30111, whole genome shotgun sequence.